ensembl:lncRNA
GGUCAUGUGCUGGGGUCCAUGAGCUGAGCCUUCCUUCUGAGAAGAAGACCCUAUGGCCCCUUCCUUUUCACAGUGGAAUAUAUCUGUGUGUUCCUUAGAAACAGCAGUGAGAAACUAGGAAAGCUGUCUGGGAUGUGAGACUUUGGUGAAGUUUAAGUUUUAUUGCAACAAAUACGUAGCUGCAGGCACAGUAGGAGGAACCCACAGCUUUUGCAGUUUGUCUUGCAUAUGUGCCUUGGUCAACACACUUUGCAUGGGACUGACCAUCGUGUCGACAUCGGUGUACUGAAUAAAUGAAAAGGAAGACUGAGCAGACUGCAGUGAUUGAUUAGCUGAAAGAAAUCAUGGAGUGAAUAAAGGAUCACUGCAGGCUUCAAGCUGCGGUGACUGGAGACCUCUCACACUGUCAACACAAGGAAACCUUUUCCCACCCCUGGGCUCUGUAACUGAGGCCACUGCACCCUAACAUCUUUGGCGUCUAUUUAGGUCAUUAAAAAUUCAAAACAACAAGGACAAAGAUCCGGCUCAGCUUUCGGUUUUUCUAUUCCUGCGAACUGUUACUUCUACUCUGUCUCAGGACAACUGGAGACCCUUGGGAGCAUGACACAAGACCUGUUCUAACCAAGUGAUCCACUUGUUUUAGAGCAAAACUGUGACUAUACUUUGAGGCUCUUAAAAUCUAUUCCUGGUGAUUGGGAGGAAAAAAAAAAG